UAACUGAUCCAUUUGUGUCACCUCCAUGA
rnacentral:sRNA from 1 species